UUAGAGUUUGAUCCUGGCUCAGGAUGAACGCUAGCGGCAGGCUUAACACAUGCAAGUCGAGGGGCAGCGGGAGUAGCAAUACUUGCCGGCGACCGGCGGAUGGGUGCGUAACGCGUGAGCAACAUUCCCGUAUCAGGGGGAUAACCGGUGGAAACGCCGACUAAUACCCCAUAAGAACAUCUGCGGCAUCAAGGGUGUUUGAAAGAUUCGUCGGAUGCGGAUUGGCUCGCGUGACAUUAGCUAGUUGGUGAGGUAACGGCCCACCAAGGCGACGAUGUCUAGGGGUUCUGAGAGGAAGAUCCCCCACAUUGGAACUGAGACACGGUCCAAACUCCUACGGGAGGCAGCAGUGAGGAAUAUUGGUCAAUGGACGGAAGUCUGAACCAGCCAUGCCGCGUGCAGGAAGACGGCCCUAUGGGUUGUAAACUGCUUUUGUGGUGGAGCAAUAAGGCGUACGUGUACGCCGAUGAGAGUACAUCACGAAUAAGCAUCGGCUAACUCCGUGCCAGCAGCCGCGGUAAUACGGAGGAUGCAAGCGUUAUCCGGAUUUAUUGGGUUUAAAGGGUGCGUAGGCUGUGCAGCAAGUCAGAGGUGAAAGCCCGGUGCUUAACACCGGAACUGCCUUUGAUACUGUUGUGCUGGAAUACGGAUGCCGUGGGAGGAAUGAGUAGUGUAGCGGUGAAAUGCAUAGAUAUUACUCAGAACACCGAUUGCGAAGGCAUCUCACGAAUCCGUCAUUGACGCUGAGGCACGAAAGUGUGGGGAUCAAACAGGAUUAGAUACCCUGGUAGUCCACACUGUAAACGAAGAAAACUAACCGUCGGCGAUAGACAGUCGGUGGCCAAGCGAAAAGCGAUAAGUUAUCCACCUGGGGAGUACGACCGCAAGGUUGAAACUCAAAGGAAUUUGACGGGGGCCCGCACAAGCGGAGGAACAUGUGGUUUAAUUCGAAGCAACGCGAAGAACCUUACCAGGACUUGACAUCUCCUUGAAACCCCUGAUAAUGACGGGGCCUCUUCGGACAAGGAUGACAGGUGGUGCAUGGUUGUCGUCAGCUCGUGUCGUGAGAUGUUGGGUUAAGUCCCGCAACGAGCGCAACCCUUGCCGUUAGUUGCCACCAUUCAGUUGGGCACUCUAAUGGGACUGCCGGGGAUAACUCGGAGGAAGGUGGGGAUGACGUCAAAUCAUCAUGCCCCUUAUGUUCUGGGCUACACACGUGUUACAAUGGUCGGUACAAAGAGCAGCAAUCUCGUGAGAAGGAGCAAAUCUCCAAAACCGAUCUCAGUUCGGACUGUAGGCUGCAACUCGCCUACACGAAGUCGGAGUUGCUAGUAAUCGCGAAUCAGAAUGUCGCGGUGAAUAAAAUCCCGGGCUUUGCAC
rnacentral:rRNA from 1 species